CUUCCUACCUGGUGUGCUGGGCCCUUGGACUUCGGGGGAGUGUUCUGGACACCUGAGGAAGCUCCGCAGGUGUGAAGGCUCCAUGCCCGUCGGAAGCGUCGGUGUCUGUGCUCUGGACAAGGAUGGCAUCCUCUUGGUGUGGCCCCGCUCCCUGGAUCAGAGGCCUGGCCGGCUGUGACAGCCUUCCCUGACUACCCCCGGUGGAGAGGUCAGCCUCCUCUGGCGACGCCUUCUGUGGGCCAUCUGCUCUGGAUCUGACGGUGGUGUGGCUCCUGGACGCCACCACAGUGAUCGUCUCCGAGAAACGUGGACACAACAGACGCUUGUACCGCCAGGUCUGCUGCAGCAUUACUCGCAAGAGUCCAAGUGUGGAAACAUCCCACGAAAUGUGGAAACAGCCCACCGGUGGACGAACGGACAAGGGCAAGUUGGCUGGUCUGUCGGUAUAACAGAAUAUUCGUCCGCCUUCAAAAGGGAGAUGAUUCUGACUCCUGCUUCCUUCUCAGGAUGAGCCCUGAGGACGUGACGCUAAGCGAGACUUCCAGCGCCCACUGGUGGGCUCAGGGGCAUGACCCCCUUUGUCUCCGCGUGAGGAGUAGUUGGCGCAGGUCCCAGUGAGCAGUGGGUCUGCCUCUGCCUUUCCAUCCCGCCGCUGCAUCUCCAGGCUGGCCAUUCUCUCUCUCCACCUUCGGUUCUUGAGGAGAGCCAGGCCUCCCGCUGACAUCGUCUCCAGGAGCAGCCGCACCGUGUAGGCCUGACCUCGCCUCUCCAUGGCCGGCCCCCGCCUAGGUCCCCGGGGCCCACUGGCUUCUCGCUGUGGAUGCCGAUCGCCAGCCCUUUGCCGAUACUCUUCAAAAUCAAGGCUUGCACCGGGUACCGACGCUUCAUUUACUGACUGAUCGUUUUUUCCUUUUUAAAAAAGUUUCUUUUAAGAAAUAAUGUCAGCGUUUCAUUGACUGUAAGCGACAUGCAGUAAACCGCACCUGUGUGAAGUGUGCACUGGGAGAACAAAGCCAUCAUUUACCGAACAGCACUUCUGUACCAGGAUCUCCCGACAAGCUGUGGGCCAGAGCGGCUUUGACGUCAGCUUGGGCCAGAAUCCUAGGGGAAAUCACAGUAACCAGCUGUGUCACCUUGGGUCACUUGGGUCCCCAUGUGAGGCCCUGACUGCUCACCUGCAAAACCUCUUGGGGGCAGAUUGGACAUUAUUCUUUUAAAUUUUCACUCUCUCCUGUAACGGAAUUAUACAUCCAUGCUCUUUGCCCUGUGACACCACAGUCUCUCCCUCUGGCUGUUUCCCCCGCCCGCCCAAGUGAGGGCUUGGCCAUGUGACUUGCUUUGGAUAAUUCAAUAUCAGCGGAUGUGACAAAAGCAUUGGCUUGAAAUACGAUUGGAUUUUUGGCCUGGCCGCUUAAGCUUCUGCCAUGUGCGGCAAGGUACACGUGGCCCAGAGAGCUGAUGGUUCUAGAAGGAGACAGCCGUGGAGUCGACCUGAAUCUGACCUGUGGCCUGGAGCUAAAUCCAGCCAACCCUGUUGACCUGCAGCCCUAUAGGAGGGGAGGAGAGAUGUGGCAAACGGCUGGAUUGGGGGGGUCGUUUGUUUCACAGCAGUGUUGUAGCAGAAACCUGACCAAUCCACAUGUGUGAUGGGAGUGCCCGCUACCCAGGAUCGUUGUGAAGAUGA